UAAGGAAUAUUGGUCAAUGCCCGGAAGGGUGAACCAGCCAUCCCGCGUGAAGGAUGAAGGGGCUCUGCCUUGUAAACUUCUUUUGAAUGGGACGAAAAAGCCUCACUUGUGAGGAACUGACAGUACCAUUAGAAUAAGCACCGGCUAACUCCGUGCCAGCAGCCGCGGUAAUACGGAGGGUGCGAGCGUUAUCCGGAAUCACUGGGUUUAAAGGGUGCGUAGGCGGCUGUAUAAGUCAGUGGUGAAAGGCUGUGGCUUAACCAUGGGAUUGCCAUUGAUACUGUACGGCUUGAAUUAGGAUGAGGUUGGCGGAAUGUGACAUGUAGCGGUGAAAUGCUUAGAUAUGUCAUGGAACAUCGAUUGCGAAGGCAGCUGACUGGACCUUAAUUGACGCUGAGGCACGAAAGCGUGGGGAGCGAACAGGAUUAGAUACCCACGUAGUCCCUGAGCGGGCUGGCAAGGCGCAU
rnacentral:rRNA from 1 species